rfam:Triticum urartu cultivar G1812 contig402920, whole genome shotgun sequence.
AAGUUAUACCCUCCAUCCGGAAUUACUUGUCGCAGAAAUGGACGUAUCUAGACAUAUUUUUAGUUUUAGAUACAUUCAUUUCUAUUUAUUUAUGCGAUAAGUAAUUUUGGACAGAGGGAGUACAAC